UAGAGGUUUUUGAUCNUGGCUCAGGAUGAACGCUGGCGGCGUGCCUAAUACAUGCAAGUCGAGCGAACAGAUAAGGAGCUUGCUCCUUUGACGUUAGCGGCGGACGGGUGAGUAACACGUGGAUAACCUACCUAUAAGACUGGGAUAACUUCGGGAAACCGGAGCUAAUACCGGAUAAGAUUUUGAACCGCAUGGUUCAAUAGUGAAAGACGGCCCUGCUGUCACUUAUAGAUGGAUCCGCGCCGUAUUAGCUAGUUGGUAAGGUAACGGCUUACCAAGGCAACGAUACGUAGCCGACCUGAGAGGGUGAUCGGCCACACUGGAACUGAGACACGGUCCAGACUCCUACGGGAGGCAGCAGUAGGGAAUCUUCCGCAAUGGGCGAAAGCCUGACGGAGCAACGCCGCGUGAGUGAUGAAGGUACUUCGGAUCGUAAAACUUCUGUUAUCAGGGAAGAACAAACGUGUAAGUAACUGUGCAGCGUGUUGUACGGUACCUG
rnacentral:rRNA from 1 species